GUGAUUCUUGUUAUUUGAUGUCUUUCUUAUCCUUAGCUUGAUGAUCAUGAAUUUACCGCUACACUUAACAUGAGGUCAUGCAAUUGUAAUUGAAGAUUGGUCAUGAAAAUCAUCCAAAUGGGACCAUGAAUAGUAAUCAUGCGCAAGUCAUUGUAAAAUGCUCCAAAUGUCAUGAUCUUGGACUUUUUGGAAAGGUGAUAUCAAGAGGAACAAACUUGAUAUUGAAAAUUUUCUAUUUGAAGCUUGGAUGAAGAUGAAUUUUGAGGUGUAAUUUGGAGAAAUCAAAU
rnacentral:lncRNA from 1 species